CCUACGGGAGGCAGCAGUGGGGAAUAUUGCACAAUGGGCGCAAGCCUGAUGCAGCGACGCCGCGUGAGGGAUGACGGCCUUCGGGUUGUAAACCUCUUUCAGUAGGGAAGAAGCGAAAGUGACGGUACCUGCAGAAGAAGCGCCGGCUAACUACGUGCCAGCAGCCGCGGUAAUACGUAGGGCGCAAGCGUUAUCCGGAAUUAUUGGGCGUAAAGAGCUCGUAGGCGGUUUGUCGCGUCUGCCGUGAAAGUCCGGGGCUCAACUCCGGAUCUGCGGUGGGUACGGGCAGACUAGAGUGAUGUAGGGGAGACUGGAAUUCCUGGUGUAGCGGUGAAAUGCGCAGAUAUCAGGAGGAACACCGAUGGCGAAGGCAGGUCUCUGGGCAUUAACUGACGCUGAGGAGCGAAAGCAUGGGGAGCGAACAGGAUUAGAUACCCUGGUAGUCCAUGCCGUAAACGUUGGGCACUGAGGUGUGGGGGACAUUNCAUUCUUCCGCGGGGUAGCUAACGCAUU
rnacentral:rRNA from 1 species